rnacentral:tRNA from 1 species
GGGUGAUUACCCAAGAGGCCGACGGGAGCAGUCUCGAAAACUGUCAGGGAUGCAAAUCCCUCGAGGGUUCGAAUCCCUCAUCACCCGCCA